CUCACUUCAAAAACGCUCUCACCUCCCCUCGCCUCUCACCUUAAGGCCAUAGGGUACCCUAUCACCUUAAUGUCACCUCUCGGCUCUCGCCUUAAUAACACUACUCGUUGCUAUAGAGGAGAAGAAAGAAAAGAAUUCUUUUUAGAGCCAAAUCACAAUAACAUCCCUUUCUUUUAACAAAUAACAUCUAAAGAGAGGAUGAUUUAGUAGUUAUGUUUAAUUUCUCUUCAAUUUCACCCAAAUUUGGGGUAAAAAGUUUUGUGGACCCCACACGAGUAUUUAAAGACUAAAACUUUUCCUCAUCCAUUUUUCGCUCUCUUCCAAACAAGUUCUCAUAUUCUCCUUCCCCUCUUCCUCUCCCCCAAUUUCAUCCCUUCCCAAAUAUAGUGUUAACAAUUGUCCCAUUCAAGAUUAUCUUCGAUGGGAACUGAAAUUAAAAAGGACUACAGCAAGUGAUACUCAUAGAUCACAAAGCAAAGUAAUUCAUGGACCAGAGCCCCGAACAUAUAAUACCAAUAAAGGCAUACAAUUGAACAAAUAAAAGGACUUAUCUUAUGCCCAGUGUGAAAUGACUGCAUUCAAAUAAACAAUUGUAUGUAGAUAAGGAAUUAAAAAAAAAGAAAAGAAAAGUGAUCAUCAUUGGGUGAGUUUGGUGU
rnacentral:misc_RNA from 1 species